AGGACUUAAGAUGUCUUCUUUGAUCAGGCACCAUUUGGGACAUGGGAGACCUUCAGUAGCUAAAAGCAGUAAGCCAUCUAAACCUUUUCUGCCAACUUCUCAUUCUCCCCAAGAGGGCUACUUAAAGGAGAGUGAAGACAGACUAAGGUUGGCCUUGAAGUGUGCUCAAGUGAUCCUCCUGUGUGAGCCUCAAGUAGCUGUAGCUAGGGCAGGGUGCCACGCCCUCUCGUUUUCUUAGUGACUCAUGGUUAUUGCCGGGCAGCAUGCACGCCUCACUCUCCAGGCCCUCCUUCUGUCCGCUCCUUUCCUCCUCUGUAUUCAGCAGGGAGUGCCUCUG